ACUAAAAUAGUUUAAAAAAAAUAUUAAUUUUGUAAAUUAAAGUUGUUAUUUCUUUUAGUA
rnacentral:tRNA from 1 species